rnacentral:rRNA from 1 species
AUACAUGCAAGUCGAGCGAACGGACGAGAAGCUUGCUUCUCUGAUGUUAGCGGCGGACGGGUGAGUAACACGUGGAUAACCUACCUAUAAGACUGGGAUAACUUCGGGAAACCGGAGCUAAUACCGGAUAAUAUUUUGAACCGCAUGGUUCAAAAGUGAAAGACGGUCUUGCUGUCACUUAUAGAUGGAUCCGCGCUGCAUUAGCUAGUUGGUAAGGUAACGGCUUACCAAGGCAACGAUGCAUAGCCGACCUGAGAGGGUGAUCGGCCACACUGGAACUGAGACACGGUCCAGACUCCUACGGGAGGCAGCAGUAGGGAAUCUUCCGCAAUGGGCGAAAGCCUGACGGAGCAACGCCGCGUGAGUGAUGAAGGUCUUCGGAUCGUAAAACUCUGUUAUUAGGGAAGAACAUAUGUGUAAGUAACUGUGCACAUCUUGACGGUACCUAAUCAGAAAGCCACGGCUAACUACGUGCCAGCAGCCGCGGUAAUACGUAGGUGGCAAGCGUUAUCCGGAAUUAUUGGGCGUAAAGCGCGCGUAGGCGGUUUUUUAAGUCUGAUGUGAAAGCCCACGGCUCAACCGUGGAGGGUCAUUGGAAACUGGAAAACUUGAGUGCAGAAGAGGAAAGUGGAAUUCCAUGUGUAGCGGUGAAAUGCGCAGAGAUAUGGAGGAACACCAGUGGCGAAGGCGACUUUCUGGUCUGUAACUGACGCUGAUGUGCGAAAGCGUGGGGAUCAAACAGGAUUAGAUACCCUGGUAGUCCACGCCGUAAACGAUGAGUGCUAAGUGUUAGGGGGUUUCCGCCCCUUAGUGCUGCAGCUAACGCAUUAAGCACUCCGCCUGGGGAGUACGACCGCAAGGUUGAAACUCAAAGGAAUUGACGGGGACCCGCACAAGCGGUGGAGCAUGUGGUUUAAUUCGAAGCAACGCGAAGAACCUUACCAAAUCUUGACAUCCUUUGACAACUCUAGAGAUAGAGCUUUCCCCUUCGGGGGACAAAGUGACAGGUGGUGCAUGGUUGUCGUCAGCUCGUGUCGUGAGAUGUUGGGUUAAGUCCCGCAACGAGCGCAACCCUUAAGCUUAGUUGCCAUCAUUAAGUUGGGCACUCUAAGUUGACUGCCGGUGACAAACCGGAGGAAGGUGGGGAUGACGUCAAAUCAUCAUGCCCCUUAUGAUUUGGGCUACACACGUGCUACAAUGGACAAUACAAAGGGCAGCGAAACCGCGAGGUCAAGCAAAUCCCAUAAAGUUGUUCUCAGUUCGGAUUGUAGUCUGCAACUCGACUACAUGAAGCUGGAAUCGCUAGUAAUCGUAGAUCAGCAUGCUACGGUGAAUACGUUCCCGGGUCUUGUACACACCGCCCGUCACACCACGAGAGUUUGUAACACCCGAAGCCGGUGGAGUAACCUUUUAGGAGCUAGCCGUCGAAG